rnacentral:rRNA from 1 species
GGAUUAGAUACCCGGGUAGUCCAUGCCCUAAACGAUGUCAACUAGUUGUCGGGUCUUUACGGACUUGGUAACGUAGCUAACGCGUGAAGUUGACCGCCUGGGGAGUACGAUCGCAAGAUUAAAACUCAAAUGAAUUGACGGGGACCCGCACAAGCGGUGGAUUAUGCGGUUUAAUUGGACUCAAC